GGAUUAGAUACCCUGGUAGUCCACGCUGUAAACGAUGAGUGCUAGGCGGCGGGAGAGUUUGACCCUUUCGUUGUCGAAGCUAACGCGUUAAGCACUCCGCCUGGGGAGUACGGCCGCAAGGCUAAAACUCAAAGGAAUUGACGGGGGCCCGCACAAGCGGUGGAGCAUGUGGUUUAAUUCGACACAACGCGCAGAACCUUACCUGGGUUAAAUCCACGAGAAUCUAGCAGAGAGGCUGGAGUGCCCUUCGGGGAAUUCGUGCGAAGGUGCUGCAUGGCUGUCGUCAGCUCGUGCCGC
rnacentral:rRNA from 1 species